UGUGUGGUCCUGCAGUAGUUUUCUGGUAUUAACUCAUAUGUUAAAUCUUUUGAAUUGUUAGUGAAAUGAAACAAAAAUGAUGCAUUUCCAUCUGUGAACUUAAUCAGGGUUCCUGGAAUGGAGUCAGCAGGAGCAGCGGCAAUCAGAGUGGUUUGGCAGAGCCGUUCAGGAGCAGAGAUGACCUCUUGCUAAACCAGCCAUUUCAACCAAAUGCCCAACGACCCCAGCGUCAUCCAGACAGCACGACUGCAUCCAACGUGAACACCGUUUACUCUGCUGUGAAUCUGCCCAAAAGCAAACAGGCUGCCUCUGCACAAAACCCAAUCAAAGGACAUGGUGGAAACAUGGGAAAUGAUUCUCUCAACUACGCUUCUGUGUUCUUUGUGAAUAGA